UACGUAGGUGGCGAGCGUUGUCCGGAUUUACUGGGCGUAAAGCGCGCGCAGGCGGACUGCUCAGUCUGGGGUGAAAUCUCACGGCUCAACUGUGAGCGGUCCCUGGAUACUGUCAGUCUUGAGAUGUCUAGAGGAGAGCGGAAUUCCCGGUGUAGUGGUGGAAUGCGUAGAUAUCGGGAAGAACACCAGUGGCGAAAGCGGCACUCUGGGGACCAUCUGACGCUGAGGCGCGAAAGCGUGGGGAGCGAACAGG
rnacentral:rRNA from 1 species